GCAGUUAAGAGCUCUUCGGAUUGGUCCCGUAGGCCGCCUUUCGGGGUGGCUCUCGGCGUGCCGAGAAGAUGCGUAAAUCGACCGGAGUAGAGGAAGUAAAAGUCGUAACAAGGUAUCCGUAGGUGAACCUGCGGAUGGAUCAU
rnacentral:rRNA from 1 species